rnacentral:rRNA from 1 species
GGGCGUAAGCGCGCGUAGGUGGCUAAGUCAGCCAGGUGUGAAAGCCCCGGGCUCAACCUGGGAACGGCAUCUGGAACUGCUUGGCUAGAGUGCAGGAGAGGAAGGUAGAAUUCCCGGUGUAGCGGUGAAAUGCGUAGAGAUCGGGAGGAAUACCAGUGGCGAAGGCGGCCUUCUGGACUGACACUGACACUGAGGUGCGAAAGCGUGGGUAGCAAACAGGAUUAGAUACCCUGGUAGUCCACGCCGUAAACGAUGUCAACUAGCCGUUGGGUCCCUUGAGGACUUAGUGGCGCAGCUAACGCAAUAAGUUGACCGCCUGGGGAGUACGGCCGCAAGGUUAAAACUCAAAUGAAUUGACGGGGGCCCGCACAAGCGGUGGAGCAUGUGGUUUAAUUCGAUGCAACGCGAAGAACCUUACCUACCCUUGACAUCCAGAGGACUUUCCAGAGAUGGAUUGGUGCCUUCGGGAACUCUGAGACAGGUGCUGCAUGGCUGUCGUCAGCUCGUGUUGUGAAAUGUUGGGUUAAGUCCCGUAACGAGCGCAACCCCUAUCCUUAUUUGCCAGCGAGUAAUGUCGGGAACUCUAAGGAGACUGCCGGUGACAAACCGGAGGAAGGUGGGGACGACGUCAAGUCAUCAUGGCCCUUACGGGUAGGGCUACACACGUGCUACAAUGGCAAGUACAAAGGGUUGCAAUACUGCGAAGUGGAGCCAAUCCCAUAAAGCUUGCCUCAGUCCGGAUUGGAGUCUGCAACUCGACUCCAUGAAGUCGGAAUCGCUAGUAAUCGUGGAUCA